GGCGUGCUUAACACAUGCAAGUCGAGCGAAGCACCUUGACGGAUUUCUUCGGAUUGAAGCCUUGGUGACUGAGCGGCGGACGGGUGAGUAACGCGUGGGUAACCUGCCUCAUACAGGGGGAUAACAGUUGGAAACGGCUGCUAAUACCGCAUAAGCGCACAGUACCGCAUGGUACGGUGUGAAAAACUCCGGUGGUAUGAGAUGGACCCGCGUCUGAUUAGGUAGUUGGUGGGGUAACGGCCUACCAAGCCGACGAUCAGUAGCCGACCUGAGAGGGUGACCGGCCACAUUGGGACUGAGACACGGCCCAAACUCCUACGGGAGGCAGCAGUAGG
rnacentral:rRNA from 1 species